rnacentral:lncRNA from 1 species
GUCCAGCUAAUUGACAUGGCCCCGCAGACUGCCUAGGGCAUGAACUACUUCCAUGUCAAGAAUAUUAUCCAAGAAGAUCUCAAGUCUAAUAACAUUUUUUGACACAAAGGGUUCCCGGUAAAGAUGAGUGACUCCCGUCUGACCACAGUGAAGACACAAUGAAGCAGGGCCCAGCCCUUGGAGCAGCCUUCAGCCUCCAUUUUAUGGAUCGCAGCUGAGGUGACUUUCAUGCAGAACCUGAAACCCUUCAGCUCCCAGUUGGACGUCUAUGCCAGUGUAGCUGUGCUCUAAAAACUCAUGAAUGGCUCACUGCUUACAGCCACAUUGGCAGCUGUGACCAGAUCAUCUUUAUGGUGGGCUGUGACUCUUUGUCCCUGGACCUCAGAAAAAUCUCCAGCAACUGCCCCAAGCCAUGCGGUACCUGCUGUCUGACUGCCUCAAGUUCCAGUAAAAGGAGUGGCUCCUUUUGCCACAGACUCUGGCCACAAUUUUUCUGCUGCGAGGGUCACUCCCCAAGAUUGAGGGAGAUACCGCUAAACCUUCCUUUUAUCAAACCCAAGCUGAUGAGUUGCCUUCCUGCCUACUCAGCACAGGCUGUCUUGAGC